rnacentral:lncRNA from 1 species
GGGUGGUAUGGUUCUUAAGAAUUUGGUAACUACUCCUGAACUAGUUUUGCGAAUUGUCACCUAUACCAAAGCUUAAUUAACAAAAGCAUUCGUUUCAAAUCAAUUGUACAAUUCAUAUAGAAAAGUGUUACAAAAUACACACACUCAUACUGGAUUUCAAAUUCAAAAUAUAUUUCAAAAUCAUUAAAGUCAUAUAGAUAUUCCAUUAACAGAACAUACUAUGUAAGUUAACAUCUAACUCAACUCCAAGCGGUCCGGUCCUACUAGAGAUCAUUUCCCACCUACGCAUAGCAAAAGUACUUAAUUCUAAAUCUAAAGGCACUCAAUCGUGCUAAUUUAUCAUAAUAAGGAACCCAAACACUAGUCUUAAAUAAUAAUCUAUAUCAAGGACCUCAAACAUUACACCAAGUUAUGACUAAAUUACUAAAAUGGAUCCGAUCUCAGUUCACUUACGAAUCCAGGGCCAGGGCCGGACCUUGGAGCAGAACAAGUUUCUAGUUACGUGGCCAACUUCCAUUUUCACCUCAAAUUAUCUCCAAGCUUUGCAUAGUAAUCAAAAUCCCACAAUUUCAAAUUUCACAACCAUAUUAUAACAUAAAUAGGCUUGGAAAUACAGCAUCAUACUUAAAUCGUACAAUAAUGUCUAUUAGAAUAAAUCAUUUUCUUAAACAACCAAAUACCUCAAAUUUCACUUCCAAUAUUUUAUAAUAUAAUUAAACUUAAAAAAACAAGAUAUUAGGCAAGAAAUCAUAAAUUUUCUACAAAAAUAAUUAUCUACCAAGAAUAUUCAAACCCAUAUUCAUUCUCCUCUAAAUGUAACUAAACAUUGAUCAGUCGCCUUGUAAACAUUAAAGCCUCAAGUUUUCUAUUAGCUUUGGUUCUUUGAUUUGUUUGGAUAUCGCCUUGAAGGGAAAAUGAAUGACUGAGGUUUAGAGAGAUGAAAAGUUUUCAUUAACUAUAUAUAUCUAAAUUUUCUUAUUUUGCUCACACAAUCUCUAAUUCUUAACUUUCACAACUUGAACCCCCAAAGUUUAUAUAUUCUCCUCUAAAACCCCAAAUGAAGGAAAUCGAUGUCACGGGGAACAAAAAAAGAAAUUGUUGAAAUCCCUAAAUCCCAUACCGUUUUGUUAAAUCACCACUUCCCUGCUUCCUUGUCUUGAUUUUCUUUUUUCAUUUUUUCAAUUAUUAUGUAAUACAUCUAAAUGGAUGAUGAGUAAUAGAUAUACAUACAAACAUAUAUACAUAUAUACACACAUAUAUGUAUAUAUGUGUGUGCCUAAAUGUGCAAGGGAUAAGGUGACUAAUUCCAUAGCUUAGAUUGUGUAUCAUCACAUAAUUGAAUCGAAAAUGAAAUUACAAAGACUCUGCUUGGAUGGAUGCUUUUUUUUUUUGGCUAUUGUUAGAGAAGCUUUACUAUAGCACCUAUUUUGAUGAAUUUACCUAUGAAAUAAAAAGAUAGUCAAAAAAUGUAUUAUAAAAUUUUCAAAAACAUCUAUACGAAAAAUAUAUUCAUUCAUACAAAACCUGGCUCUUUCAAAUAGAUUUUCUUAAAAAAAGUUUCAUUGUAAUAACUUUAUUCGUACAUUUAUUUAUGGAAAAAAUCAUGCCCAAAAACAUGUUUAAAACCAUAUUUGAAAAUUUCAAAAACAUGCCCAAACAAGUGGAGCCUAAGUUUUCCACUUCAUUUGCUUGUAAGAUGUAGAUUUACUAGUGCGAACGAAUUGCAUAGUAAAGGUACACCAAGUGGGCACAUCCACAUAAUGCUACAAUACCAAUUACUUCCGAUCAAGUUAGGAAAUCCUUCACGUCUAGCACCUAGCAUACAAGAAGGACUCGCCUUAUCUUUUUGGAACGUGAAUGAUGCCGGUGCCCUAUGAGGCACAUCUUGACCAUCUAAUAUUUUUCUACUUUAUAGCAAACAAAAAUUCUGUUUUCAUGAAGAAAAUAGUUUGUGAUACUGGCAAAAGUAGGGGUUGAAAUUCGGAGGUGGCAAAACUAGUUGAAAUUCUUAUACUUUUGUAAAAAAAAACUUUAGGGGUAAAGUCUAAUAUUACAAAAAUAUAAGUAACACUUUUAACAUUCAAGAGGAUGUAGAAUGAUUUCAAAAAUCUUUGGGGGCAAAAUUUAAUUUGUGCAAGGAUAUAAGCAAAACCUUUUAAUUUUGAAAGCGGAUAUAAAAGAAUUUCUCAAAUCUUGGGGAGGCAACAGCUGCUCCUUGCCCUCCAUUACUUCCGCCAGUGGUUUGCAAUAUAGCACCAUAUUCUGCACAUAAUUAAGAACAAUUUUCAAACAACAAGUGGUAAAUUUUAUACGAAAGAAGGUACUUGUUUUGAAAUGAAAUAUUUUAACCAAGACUGGAUUCACUGAUGUCCAUUUGGCGAAGAAAAUCCUUGAGAAUGAACUUAAGUACACUUUUAGGUCCAGUUAUAUGUAUGAUGAGAACUUAAAGGUAACUAGUUAUGGUGACUAAGAUUGGUACAAGGUGAUGGUGUGUAGUUUUGUGUUUAGGAUAAAGUCUAAGGUAAGGUGAGAAGGAAGGUUCAGGUGAAGGAUAGGGUGGGAUGAGCUAUGGUCUUGCAGGAUUUGUGAUAAGUGGCCAAUAUGCACUACAUUUAGUGGCUAUUGUUUAGGAUUUUUAAGUUUUUUUUUUUUGGCUUGAAAUCAAGAAGGGAAUUGCUUGUAGUGAUUAAAAGUUGAUGCGUAAAUAUUGUUGAUUAAAGUCAAUUAUUUUUUACUUGUUUAAUAUGAUUAUUCUACCUAUAUAGUAAAAGCGCGAAUGGCUUUGUUGGAGGUUGUGGUUGUUGUGCUGACGCGGCAGUAUUUUACUGGCUGAAAUUUGGUCGUCAUUCACGUGCACCUCGCGUGGUUUCGCCGGGAGGAGGAGUGGGAAUUCUUGCUGUUGUCUGAGAAGAAGCAAGUUCGGACCUUCGGUUUUUAAGAAGAAGCUGUUUCUCUGUAGCCUGAGUACCAUUUGUCUUCUGGUCAACAGCUUGCUAGCUGAGUGAGCUUAUGUAUGACGUUGGUGAUGGUUUGAUUGAUGACAAGUGUUGGGUGCUGGGCUCAAUGUGUGGUGUGAAUUGACGAUAUUGCCCUUCUUUUCAAAUCAGAUUAUCCGUUGUAUCUUGCUGUGGUUCUUCUUUGUCUUUGCGAUUUGGUGAGAAGAGUUUCAGCUCUGCUCUAGUUUUACAGAAAAGAGAGAAAAGAUUUGAACAAAUAGCGGUUAUCAAAUUAAGCAAAAAAAAAAAAUCCAGAAAAUUGUUGAAGAUGCAGGGCAAGGUAAUCGGCCCAACAACCUCAUGGGCUAGGACCGGUUAAUGGACUGAUCACAUCCGAUUGAAGCGCUGGGGUCGGCUAUCGCCUUCGCCCUGACAAAAUGUUGGCCAAAAUUGUUGCGAAACAGGGCAGAAAAAUCAGCCAUGUGACCUUAGCAACACGAGCCGGCUCCAGGGCUGAUUAUCUAGCCGCAUUUCUGAGCAAGUUGCACUGGGUUUCUUGUCAGAUACUCCUCCUAUGUGUUUCAAGUAUUGACGAGACAUUGUGGUUGCUAGAAGGAGAGUACAAGUAUCAACAAGAAACAACUUUUGUCAUUUUAAAUCUUCUUCAUCCCAUUGGAGCCAGAUUGUUAUUUUUGAAGCCAAUUUUUAUCAAAUGUGCACACUAGAAAUAAAACACAAGAAAAAGGGCUCAAAGACUUAUCUAUAAAAUAGAAACUUGUGUCUUCUCAUUAAGGAGCUUUUGAGAAGUGAAAGAACUUCAUCAUUAAAAAUGUAACAUUCAUAUUUUCUUAGUUUUAGAAUAGAGUACGAUAGUUUAGGUAAUUGUAUAUCAUCCUCUCUUGUGUAUAGGUAGGCAAAGAUGAAGAAGGAGAUGACCUCAUGUGACUGGGGUUUUAUUUCUUUUGCAAACUCUUUAUCUUUUAUAUUGGAUUAUACUGUUUACUUAAUACACAAGUUUGGAUUUUAUGUUCAUUAUGUGUUUCUAAAGUUUAUAUCUAAAAUUAUGGAUGAAUUUGUUGCAUCUUGUUUGUAAUGUUUACUUGGUUAUUUCAUACUAUUAUUUUGAACAAAUUAUUUAGCACUUUAACUUCUAUAAUCAUGAUUAACUAGCCAUUAAUUGUUUGGUAAUCUCAAGGCGUUAAAUUAAUAAUAAAAAUUGAAAUUUAAUACUAGUUCAAGAAAGUACUAAAUUUAGAGAGUUUACUCAUGAAAGUAGAAGUACACCUUUGUGACCUUGAUGAUUUGUUCCAUGUAAUUUCACAGAAGUGAAUGAACUUAUAACUAGUUUCAUAACUAUGAAAGUAGGUAUGAAAUAGUUAUAAGUAUAGUUGAUUUACAGAAGAAAUGGGUUUCACAUGCUUUAAGAAAUUAUGCUAUAACUAACCAAUAUAAUAACAUUCAAUUAACCAAUAAUUUCACUUGCAAUAGUAGUUAGAAUUCCACAACCCUAGAAACUUUUAUCAUUGUUUUUGUUUAAUUUUAUUUCAUGCUCUUGGUGCAAUUUUAAUUGCUUCAUUUAUGGUAGUGUAAAUAAUAAAGAAAUUUGAAAAACCAUCGGUAGUUAUAUCAUUCUUCUUUGUGGGAUCGAUGCGUAAUAUCCCUUAUAUUCAGUAAAAUAAUUUGUAUACUUGCAGAAAAUGAGUUAUUUAAGAUUUUAAAAUUUGGUGUAAAGGAAAAAAUCUAGUCAAUUUGGUAGGAGGGUAAGGGUGCAUGGCUAGGGUUGGUGGUCAUCAUAGGAAAGUAGGAUACGACAUUGAUGUGAUAGUUAGUUGGGGAAGGGGAUAAACAAUAAUAUACAAAAAAUUAUUUAUUUAUUUUCUAUCUUAUCUGUUUUUUGAACAAUUUAUAACAAUAAUUCUAGUGUUUAGCCUUAUUUUUAUCAAUUUUCUUUACACAUACAUAGAUUUGUAAUAAAUGUUCUUUUUUUCUUUGUAUUGAUUGAGAUUUUACAAAUGAAAAUAGAAAACAACAAAAAUUUAAUGUUUUAAAAUAAGAAAUUCAAGCAUAAUAGUAUUCUAGAAGUUCUUCUAAUUAUUCAAGUAUACUAUUUAUCGAAUUUGUGCUUUGUAAAAAAAUUUAAAAUGCAAAUAAUUCACAAUAUUAACCCUACUUGUUAUGGAGCAAUAGACCAAUGUACUUGAAUUAAUUAUCCAUGAAAAUCGUUGUUGACAUUGAUAUACAAAAUUACAAUCUUUUCUAUACAAUUCUAAAUAAUACAUGAUAUAGUAACAUGUCAUUCAUAUCCAAUGAGUGGUAAGAAAUCAAAACUUUAUUAAUUAUGCCAUACAUAUAUACUUGGUAACAUAUACUGGUACGCAAUAGCGGAAAUAGAAUGCAAAGUAUUAAAGACAUUCAAAUAAUAUUAAUUUCAAAUAGAAAAUGGUUGAAAAAAAGGCAUUUAAAAUUUAAAAAUCUUAUUAGGUAUUUUGUGUACUCAUUUCUCUAAUUCCAUUCUACCUAUUUACUUUCAAAAUGUCUCCAAUUGGUCUCCUUCGCUCUUUUAUAUAGUCUCCUAUAUACUUUCAUUUUUCUCUUGCUUUAGUGAAAAUUUUCUAGUCUUAAUAUGCUACUUUUACUUUUUGUCUUGACAAAUCUCUUUCCUUAAUAUGCUACUUUUAACUUUAUUUUUUCUAGACUUGACUACUAGUCGGAGGGUUAGCAAUGCUGCACUUGAGUAGAAUAUUUUAUCACUAUGGAUAGUGUCGAUAAUAGUGGAUCUCUCCGUUAGUUUUUUAUCAACUUUGGGCAUUAUGAUACAAACUUUGACAAUUUUUCUUUUUCCUUUGGAUUGACAAUGUACUAUUCAUACUAUUAUUUGAGUGUUAAUUGAAGAAUUGCAAGGUUUUGUUACAUAUUCUUCUUGUGUUCGAACCCUAAUUCUAUGUGUUCCAUUAUUAUUGAUACAUUAUAGACAAACUAUGAAAAAUUUUAUGUCGAUCCAGAGCAACUAUUAGACAUACCUAGUAGUUGCUUCUAAACCAAUGAAAGAGUUCCAGGUGAAUAUAUAAGAGUCCAUUGGAGUUGUUUAGAAUAAAAUUGCUAGUAGUUGCUUCGAACCAAUGAAAGAGUUCCAAGUGAAUAUAUAAGAGUCCACAGGACUUUUUUACAAUAAAAUUCGGGAAAGAGAACCAAAAUAUUUCAAAAAGUUAGGCAAGGUAUCAUGUGUAGACACCAAAAUUUUAAUUUUUAUUUAAUUCAAUUCUAGCUUUAUUUUUUAUUAUUUAUUCUUGUUUUUAUUUUAGUUGAUUAAGUUUGCAAAAUGAUAGUUAGUGUUUAUUUUUUGCUUAUUUUAGUAAAUUAGGUUCAUCAUUUUUCUUUUUAAGACAUUUUUUGCAUUAAAUUUCUGAAAAAAAAAAGAAAAUUCUUACAAAAAUUUGUUUUAAUCUUUUUAAAUUCAAGUACUUCAAAAUAAAAUGAAAAUUAGUGAUGCAUUUAACAUUUUUUUUUGGUUACCCUAAACUUGUUUUGAAAAACAAAAAAUAACAAAAUAAAAAAUAGGUGGAGGCCAUGCAAACUAGCUAAGUGAGAUAGGUUAGGGUUAGACAAGUGUCCUCAUUUUUUUUUUACACCACAAUACUUGCUAGAUUAGGCGCAGAACACUUGUUGAUUUGGAAAAAUUUGGAGAAAAAUCUGGAAAUUAGAAGGAGGAAGGGAAGAAGCUACGGGAAAAAAGGGGGAGAAAGAAAGCAAGGAAAAGAAAAAAGAAAGGCGGCGGACGGAGGGAAAAACAAGAAAAAGGGAGGCUACGGGGCUGGGAAGAAAAGAAAGCAAAAAAGAGGAACAGAGCAAGAAAAAGAAGGAAACCGAGAGAGAAAAAUUUGGGAAAGAGCUUCAGGGCUAAACAAGAGAGAGCAAGAGAGGUAGGGAGAAACUACAAGAGAUAGAGAGAAUGAGAGGAAAACUCUAGAAAAACAAGAAACAAGAAACAAGAAAAAAAAAAAAAGAAGCUGCGGAGGAGAAAGAGCUUGGGCAGAAAAAAAAAACUAAGAGAAAAGAGGAACUAGUAGCAAAAGAAAACCAUGGAACAGAGGAGAAGACGGAGCUGCCAUCGUUCGCCGAAAUCACCCACCACCGUUGCCGUCAAUCUUCACCGGAAAAACACUGUAAGGCUUUCUAACGAAUGUAUGGAAAUGAGAGUUAUUGACCUACUUGCUCCUCUCCUUUUUCUUUUAGUAAAAAAUUCUUAUCUCUUUCUGAUGUUUAUGCAUUCGUGUGGAGCUGUAAUUUCUGUUGUUUGUAAGAGAGUUGGUUGGGUUGCUGUAAAUUUUAGGCUUGCUAUUUUGCAAAUCAAUAAAAUCGGUUCAAUUUUGUUGAUGCACCUAACCUGUUUGAUAAAAGACCUCUGCAUAAACUUAAGCCAAAGAAGUCAAUAUGGUGAUUUUCUGUGUGAGUGUAAGAGGAACUCUGGCCCAAAGCUGGCCAGAGCCUGUGAGUUCGAUAGUUGGGGGGGGGGGGGGGGAGGAAAGGAAGUCAAGAAAUUUUGAAGUUGAUUUCUUCCGUUUUGGCUGUCUUUUGUAUCUUACAAUGGUUUAGUGUGUACUUGUGCGUGUGGAGUGAAAAGAGAAAACUCCAGCCAGUCCAAUGCCGGCUGAAGCGACGAUUUCCAGUUUUUUCGGUGAAGUCUCGGUGAAGUGACGAUUUCCAGUCCAACCUUUCUUGUCUUUUAGUUUCUAGAAUCUGUUUUCUCUCCGUUAUGGUAUGAUAACCUUUUGGAUGGCUUGAUACGUUUAAUGAAAACCCAAAAAUCUGCGAAGAAGAUGAAGGCUUCGACUAAGAAGCCUAAACAUUUUUUGGAAAUUCUGUUUAAACCCUCUAACUUUUACUUACUUCUGAUAUGGCCCAAAAAAUGGAAAUAUCAGUCAAUUCUUGUCCUUUGAAAUCUUAAUUUUUAUUUGGCAAAAUGUAAUAUGAUUUUCGGACAGAUUAUGUGUGAGUUUUAUGAUGAAAUUUAAGGUUUAAUAAUUUCUAUACAUUUAUAAUUUUAAUUUGAGUUUUAGUGGAAAAUUUAAAGAUUUGGGUAAUAUUAUUGUGGAUUUAAUUUAUUUUGUGAAUUUUAGCAAUUAAGUUUGAUAAGCUUUAAUUGGAGCUCUUAAUUUCAUUUUUCUUUAAUUUUGACCCUUAAGAUUUUGUGAUGAUAAUUUGAUCCCCAAAACUUUUUUUUUUCAAUUAGGUCCUUGUUUGUUUAAAAUUUCUUAAAUAUGGGUUGUUUACUUUCAUUAAAUACUUUAAUUGAUUCAAUUUCAUAUUUAUUUCCAUAUUUUAUGAUUAUUUGUUAAUUAAAGUGGUGCCUUAACCAUUUUCUUCGUGUUGGAGAGAAGAAAUAAGGGCAAUUUGACUCCAUUUAGUCACCAUUUCAAAAGGGAGGUACCCCUAUUAUUAUUAUUUCAAUGUCAAUUACGUGUUCUUAUGUGCUUCUACGUGUUCCUAUGUGUUUAUAUAUAUUUAUAUGCUUCAUUUAUUUGAUUUAAAUGUUCAUUCAAACUUUUUUAUAUUUAUUUAGUUAAUUUUUAUAAUUAUUUGAGAGGCAUUUAAAUACCUCAAAAAUGUAAUAGAUAGGAUAAUUAGAUUUGUUUUAUUAUAUUUUCUCAUUUUAAAUUGUAAUAGGUAGGGUGGAUAGGAUUUUUUCAUCUCCCCAUUUUAGAUUGUAGUUAGAUUCUCCGUUGUAAUAGGUAGGUUUUGUCUGUUUAUGUGGCUUAUGUGUUAUAUAUUUUACUCGCUUUCCUUAGGACUUUUGCAUCUAGAUAUUAUGUCUAUGGGUUACGUGCUACGUGCUCUUAUGUGUUUAUUUGUUUUAAUUUAUACCUUAUUUGUCUUACUAUGUUUUAAUAAUGCAUAACAUUACCACACUAGUCCAAUGCUAGUUGUGGCUUCUCCCUCCAUUUACUUGCUAGUCCAACGCUAGUAAGAAUUUCUAAAAAUGGGUUAGUUCAACGCUAGACCUUUAGAUCGUUCGUGCGUUAGAUUCAUUUUUGAGUGAUAUUCAUUACAUUUUCAUGCAUAUUUUUAUUUUUAGGAUCUUUUCUCAUUUGUGUGAUAUUGCCUAUUAUAUUAUCCUCUAUCUUCUAUGUGUUAAUCAUAUCAUUUAGAAUUGCAUCUCAUUUAAGAAAUUGUAAAAUAAGUUAGUUCAUUUGCUUGUCUAGAUUAGGAGAAUUAUUCUUCGAACAUGGGAAAUGGGCGAUUAUAACUUUUUAAUUUAAAUACCCAUUAAUCCCUGCAUAAGAAAAUUAUGUCACGAGUUUUUGCCUCCCAUAUCCAUUAUGUUGCAUUCCCCAUUCUUUGGCCACUUAUACCUAUAUAUAUAUAAUUUAACUUUCUUUUCUUUUAAUUUCAUCAUUCGCAUACUCGUGACCCCUUCAAGGAAUUAUUUUGGCUUUCGCAAUUAAUGCGAUUGGUAUCAAUUAAACCCUUGAAUGGACAUUUUUGUCCUUUUCGAUAUUUUAUAAAUUUAGAUUUGCAUCCAUAUAGAAAACAUCCAAACGUGAUAAAUUUAAGAGUUAGAUUAAGAAAAUUUUUUGAUUAAAUCUCGCAACUAACUUAGACUAGGUUGAAAGGGUGCCUUAGAUUUGAGUUAAUCAAACUUUUGCCUUCGUUUUCUUCAACCGUGACUCCCGUACUCAUUUUCUCUUGUUUUUCAAAGAUCUAGAGUUGUCGAAAAGGGUUUUAUUUUAUUUUAUUUUUGUCAAAAAAUACUUUUAGGUGACUUGGUACACAAAAACUCAAUACCAAGUGGCGACUCCUAUUUUUCUUAAAAACUCUUUUAAACUAAAUUUGGAUCCAAACUGUCGCAUUUUUUAAAGUCUCAUUCUAGGUUAUUGUCACUUAUUUUUAAAUAAAAAUCACAUCUUUUAUAAAUAUUUAUUUUCAUCGCCAAAAAUGGGGUGCGACAAUUUGGCGACUCCACUGGGGACUUUAGAAAGUUCGACCAUUUGAUUUAGUCAAUCAUUUUCUUUUUCUAACCUUUUUAUAUAUCACAUUUGGAGGUUUUAGAUUGCAUUUUUUUCUUUUAGGGUUUCUUGCAUUUAACACGCUCGAUCAUCUCGAUAUCCGUGUCUAUGAUGAAUAAAUGUGUUUAUUUUCUUUCAUUCACUUAUGUUUAUAUAUCGCGCUUGCAUCUUGGGGGAAGAGGAAUAGCCACCCUAGAACUUUCACCUGCAUUUAAUGGUAUUUAAUUCCUCCCCUCAAAAGGAAGUACCUCAUACGUGUAUGCAUUACUUUUACUCUAUUUUUUUUCUUUCUCAUGGGCGCCAUCUCACAUCUCCUUAUAGGAUUAGUAUCGAUUUUCUUAAGUAGGUGGAUGGUGUGCUCUGCACCCAUAACGAUGCCUAAGGGAUCACUCAAGCCACCGACCGAAGGCCUUGAGAUUGAUGACCCUUCGCCUUUUGGUCUGAAGGUUUGGGAACCUGAAACCUUAUCGAGUUUAGAUGCAUUAGUAAGCCAAAUCUCAUGCAUCCAUAUUAAAAAAUCCUAAGAUAGAGUCAACAUUAUCUAACUAGGAACAGUAGACACGAGGGGAGGGAUUCCACCCUUCUUUCUUUACUUUCCAUUUUUGUAUCAUGUUUUUGCUCCAACUUGUUAUGUGUUAUUUGUUAUUCUAACCUCUCUUUGUUUUCUCUUCUUAUGCAUUCACCAACUUUAGAUAAUAAGAGUCCUGGCAUAGUAUUUAGAUAGCUUAUUGCACGUUUAAAUUAUAAGUUAUUGCAUUUUAUUACACACCAUUCUAGGCUUACCCCAACAUUUAAAUGGGGCACUUUUAGGUCAUACUUCAAUCGUUGCAUUAUAUAUUUAAUACGCUUUAAUAAAUUGUCGUCAUGCAUUAACCAUAGAGGGAAUGCCGCAUAGAGAAUCCCACGUUAGAAAUAAACUAGCUUGUGUCUCGGAUACAUAAUUCAAUGAGACUUACACGUUUAUAUUUUCUUUUACUAUUCUGAGGGAUAAAAAUCCCGAAGGUACUAAAAGUGAAUUUCUACUCAGAUGGCUCCUUGCAGAGUAUUGAAUCAGAUACCUCGAGAACUAAUUGAUUAAAAGAAUAAUAUGUCGCAUGAGGUUAAAAGAUUAUUCAAAUAUGUGGGGCAUUUGCCAAGUCUCUUGAACGUGACGCCCAUUGUCGCGAUUAUCCAAACUCUACUUGAAUAUUGGGAUUCGGAAGAUUCGAUUUUUCGAUUUAACGAAUGUGAGUUGACGCUGACUUUAGAAGAAAUAGAAGAACUUUUGCAAGUACCAAGGAAAGGUCAUCCCAUGGUAUAUCUAACUAGUGGAACAAGGGAACAGUUUUGUAGGUUUUUGGGAUUGAAGCAAAAUAGUAUGGAUCAACAUCCCGAUGCAAAAUCGUGCCGGUUAGAGUUCCUGUACAAGCAAUUUGGGGAAAGAGAAUCAUAUGACCAAUGCCACGACGACUUCUUCAUUAGCAGAGAACAAUGGAAGGAGAAGCGAGUGCAAGCCUUUGGACUAACUCUGAUAAAUCUGUUAUUGUUCCAGCAAAAAUAUGGAAAAGUCACGUUCUCAACUAUUAAUAUGAUUCAGAGUCUGUUUCUAGGAAUCAAUGGAAAGACCCCUACCUUGGUACUUGUUAUCAUUGCCGAUAUCUUCACAGCUGUUACUGAGUGUCAAAAGAAAAGAGGGUUCUUCUAUGCAUCAAAUGUGGUAAUUCAAAUGUGGGCGAUGGAGCACCUAUCAAAGAGAACGCUCAAUCCCUUAAGAUCGUGUCUUCCAACAGAGAAUUGGAUCGAAUCACACCGAGAAAGAGUCAAAAGAUACUACUGAAUGGCAUCUCCGAGCCAGUUUAUUCAAGAGUUCGAUAAUUUGACUCCGGAUAACAUACAAUGGGUUCUUGAUUGGACAAAAGUUAGGGAUCCACCUUUCACGACUACACAACAUAGUUUUAUCCCUCUAGCAGGCACCAAUGGGUUGGUCGCGUAUGUUCCGCAACGAGUCAUGAGGCAGUUUGGAUAUUCACAAAAAGUUUCGAUAAUACAAGAAAUUGAAAAAAUCAGACUCAACACAGUUGCCGAGUGCCGAAGCAUGGUACUGGAAGUUUGGGGAAAUUUUCAUAACCAAGACAACCUAUACCUAGAUCAAGUGAAUAAAUUAGAACCUAAGGUCAUAUCGGGAUAUUGUGAAUGGAUCAAACUGAUAAUAAAACAAGGAAGAGAAAGGUCGCCAUCUGUCUCCACCAGUCCUGAAGAGCAAAUAGAGAAACUAAAGAAGGAAUUGGAGGAUCACUAAUUGCAGAUUAUAGUGGCCGACCAUGCCUUGGAAGAUGCCCGAUCGCAAUCAAAGAGAGAGACAAGGAAAACUGAAAAGUUGGAGAAAGCAUUGGAUGCAUUUGACAAAAUUCAAGAAGAAAUUCGGAAGUUUAGCAUAGGGAGUUAUAGGGAAUCUCAACAUACUUGAUUAGCAAGGCAUGAGAAUUUUGUAAAAAUGGUCAGUUGAACCAUCAAUGAGAUUGUAAAGAAUGAUUAAACUUAUCAGUAUUCACUGAGGAUUUCUAUUUUUGAUUUCUACAUUUACUUACAGGUUUGAAAUUGGGAUUUUAUCCUGAAGAUAUUGCAUCAUGUUAGGUCAACUCUUGACGUAAAAAAGGCUCCCCCAUAGGACAAGUAUCCGAAUUAUUUAAAUAUCUACUAACUCAUGUCUUUUUUCCUUUUUCCUUCUUUUUGAAAAAUUACAGCAAUUUGAUACAAAAUCCAUUCCUGAGCCGAUUUCUUUCCUCUACUAUCAGGUAAUUGCAAACAUAGUUACACGAAAAAACCCCAAAUCAUCCGAUCACGUAGCCGAACUUUGAGAAAUAGUGUAAGUAUUAGUACACAUCCUGAAUCAUCUUAUAGGACUACAACAACGCCACCAACCAACCUUGCAAAUCUAGGAGUUCAACUGAGCGAAGUGUUAAACAAAUUUAAUGAGUUAAGCAUGGAGAUGACCGCACAACGGCGCGUGAUUGGUCAAUUGGUAACUGGUAGCGGUAGCGGUGUUCAACAUGAGCCCUUACCUGCUAGUCAACCUGAACCUCAACCAUUGUCCUUACCUUAUAUUCAAACCUCUUUUGCUUCACAUGUCAUAAAUCCACCUGAGGAAGCUUUCACCUAUCCCACUCAUGGCCUACCACAUACCUAUGCACUCAACAUCCAAAUCAAUCCUUCUCACUCUCAAAUUCCUCUAAAUUAUCCACCUGUUAGUCUGAACAUGCCACUUGAACCUCAAGAACCAUAUUAUUAUUCCACUGCAGAACUAUUCACGCUAAACACCGCUGUCCAAGAAAAGGUUGAAGUAGGAGAAUCCUCAGCGCCAAUUGACAAGAAUUUAUUAAAGAGGUUGGAUCGGUUUGAUGAAUUCAUGAGGAAGAGUCAAGGCCUGAGCAACAAGGAGAUAUAGACCAUAAUGAAUUGUGCAUGUUUCCUGAUAUGCAACUGCCUGUGGGUUUUAAAACACCUAAAUUUAGCAAGUAUGAUGGAACAGGAAACCCCAAGAUGCAUCUCCGAAUGUUUGCCAACAAAUUAGGAAAGACAAUAGAUGACGAGAAUUUGCCAGUUCGAUUGUUUCUCGAAAGUUUAGAAGGCGAUGCACUGGAUUGGUAUUCCAAUUUGAAACCUGAUGAGAUGAAGACAUGGAUGGAUUUCUCAACGGCGUUUGUAAGACAAUACGAGUAUAAUUGCGAGUUUGCUCCGACGAGAACCACACUUGAGGGGACUAAAAGGAAACCAUCUGAGAAUCACAAGACUUAUGCAAAGCGAUGGAGGAAAUUGGCUGCCAAGGUGGAAUCUCCUAUGACUAAAGAGGAAAUUGGCUGCCAAGGUGGAAUCUCCUAUGACUAAAGAAGAAAUUGUUCGAACAUUUAUCAAAACUCAUGACCCGCUCUAUUUUGAGAAAAUUUUUCGCAUGACUGGAUGUUCAUUUGCAGAAAUUGUUAACAAAUUGAAGGAGUAUGAUGAGUUUAUAAGAGCGAAAAAGAUUGUUAAUGUGUCAACUCUGAAGUCGCAAUUAGAAGGGUUGCAAAAUCAAGGCAGCAGUAGCAAGAAAUCUCAAUUCAAGAAGAGAGAGGAGGAAGCUUCAUUUGUUUGGAACCAAGGCCCUUCUUUCCGAUUUAGAUACCAACAAUACCCCACUUAUCCAUCCCGUUACCCAUACCAACCACGCUCUCGACCUGUUUAUCAUACCACCAUCAACCAUCCUCGAUCCCGACCAAAUUACUCAAACACACCCGCAACACCAUUUCACAUUUCUCCACAUAACUUUCAAACUAGAUCUCGUCCUCCUUAUAAUCCAAGACCUACUCCGCCAACUAACCAAAAUUACAACUACCAACAAACCAAUGACACCUAAAAUCUAACCCCAUACAGAACUUUCACCAAUCUAGGUCGGCCCGUUGAUCAGUUAUAUGAACAACUCAAAAUCGCAGGAAAAAUUGGUGCGAUACCUCCUAAAACCUACCCUAGGGGCAUUUCUGCUGGUUAUGACCCUCAAACAAUUUGUGCAUAUCAUUCUGGAGCUCCUGGAUAUUCUAUCGCCAAUUGUUGGGCGUUUAAGUAUAAAAUUCAGGAUAUGAUUGAGGCCGAAAACAUAGUUUUGAGAAGGAGAGAUGAACAAGGACUAAGUGUUAGCAAGAAUCCUCUUCCCACGCACAAGGAUACUGUUCGAGCUAUUACCAUAGACGAGGAAACCGAGGAACCUACUCAAUACAUUAUGGAUGAAUCUGAGACAAUGGGGGUCAUUGGAGAACCAUUCAUACUGGAAGAAGAAACUUACGAAGUCAAGAAAAAUGCUGAUCCUUUUCUCUUGGAUGUGAUACCUUUCGAAUGUGAGCCAUCAGAGCUUCUGAUACUUAAAUUGCCUGAACAAGCGUCUGUUCUUAAUCUACAAGAAAUCCCAUGAAAUUAUAGUGAGCCUAUUUUAUUGAUUGGAGGAGAAGGAGUGCCAAAAAAGGAGGUGGUCGCUGUCACUGGAUCUGGAAGAAUCAUAAAUGAACCUGCAGUUAACGAGCCAUCAAAAGCAAAGGAAAAUGCCGUGCCAACAAGACCAGCUGUGACUAAAGACGAAACAUUCAAUUUUCUCAGGAUGUUGAAGAAAAGCGAGUAUAAAGUGAUCGAGCAAUUGGAUAAAAUGUCCGCUCAAAUUUCUAUGUUGAAUCUGCUCUUAAUCCCGGAACCUCAUAGAGAAGCUUUACUCAAGGUAUUAAUUGAGACUCAAGUGCCUAAGAAUAUUCCGAUUGACAAAUUCACCCAUGUAGUCGAGUAUGUUUUGGUUUCAAAUUAGAUUUCUUUUUCUGAUGAAGAUUUAACUUCUGAGAAGAUUGGACAUAACAAGACAUUGUAUAUCUUAGUCCGUUGUAAUGGGAAGUUGUUACCGAGAGUUUUGAUAGACAAUGGAUCCGCUUUGAAUAUUUGUCUAUGGAAUACUUUGGUUAAAUUGGGGUUUUAAGAGGCUAAAUUUCGGUCGUCUGCCACCGUGGUGAGAGGAUUUGAUGGCGUAAAAGAGAAUCAAUGGGAGAAGUGGAUUUAAUGCUAGAAAUCGAACCUGCCCAAUUCCAAAUCAUGUGCCAAGUUAUGGAUUUCUCAAAUGUUUAUAAUAUUCUACUUGGACGACCUUGAUUUCACGCUUCGGGCGCUAUACCAUCUUCGCUCCAACAAAUGUUGAGAUUUGUGGUGAAUGGCCAGUUGAUCACGGUAUUUGCAGAGGAUGAUUGUACUAUGAUUGUUAAUUCUGGGCCAAAUGAGGAAGAUGUUAGAAAAUCUCUGGUUUCUCCUCACCAUGUGGCUGACAUCGUUUCAGUAGGCUGGGUAUCUAAGGACAAAGCGGUGUUGGAAAUAAAUUUACCAGAAACCAGCAUUAUGAUGGUUAAAGAGAUCAUUCGGGGAGGAUACGAGAUAGGCAAUGGUCUCUGGCGUAACUUGUAGGGAGUUCUAGAACCCAUAGAGGUUCAAGGAAAGAAGAAUACCUUUGAACUAGGGUUUCAACCUAUUGCCAAGGAUAAGAAAGAAAUGCUGGAUCGCAAGAAAGCGGAAAAGAGAGGAAAUCAAAUUAUCAGGAGUAUCACACCAUUGUACUGCAUUUUUCCUUAUCCAUCAGAAGUGAUUAAAUCUGAAGUGGACCAUGUGACAGCCCCACCUCCCCCUAAGGCGAACCAGAGGGUUCGACGGGCCGCCUGCCCAGCUCUCGCCGGGACUCAGUCGUUCACUACCAUCCUCAAAUGAAUUACAAGAAUAAACCUCAAAUAUUACAAUAUAAAUCUCCAAUAUAACAUCAAAUUCUCCAAUAAUUACAUGUCAUAAGCGAAGCGGAAACAAUUUCCAACUAUACAUAAAAUGAUUCCAAAUCCAAACUGUACAAGAUAUAGGCCAUCCAGACAUGUGAAUAAAUACUACAAGUCCUUCCUUCGCCUUGAGCCCUGUGGAGGGGAAUAAAAUAGUUUUGGGGUGAGUUAGAAGCUCAGCGAGUAACCAGUAAAAUCAGAAAUCAAAUAUAUUUCACAAUGUUGCAUUUCGAUCAUUUCGAUGAUGUCAUGAUUCAGAGAUCAAAUGUACAUUUAUUGCUCUCGUGAGCUAGUGAAAUCAUUGCACUUGAACACCCAACACUCAAAUAAAUCAUUUAACAUUAACAUUGAGAGGGAGCCCCUUUUUGAGCUCCAGAUAAACAUAAACAUGAACCAUAAACAAGGUGGAGACGUUGGUGUCCAGCACAAGACUUUCUCAGAACUCAUUGAAGCCAAAUCAUGUCAUGAAUCCACAUGCAAGCACGCAUGAUAUGCAAUCGAAUAAAUAAUGCAAGAAACAUUUCACAAGUAUUUUGGAAAUAGUUUAGGGUCACUCACCUCCACGGCUCAGAAAUCAUCCAGCAUAUAACAUUGCCUUGCUCAAAUCCAAGUCUUAGAUCACAAACUCAAUGCAAACAAAUCCCUUCAAAGUUCGGACAGCACUUCCCCUGAAUUUGCUAACUUUUCCAGCCGUCAUGGCUUCAUUAUUUCCUCAUUCCAACCCAAAGGUACACACACAACAACAAGUUCAUCCAAUAGCCAUUCAGCAAGCUCCAAGUAGUACUAGUACAAGUCAAGCAAGGGAAAAGUCCGGAAAUGAAAGUUAAGCUCAAAACCAGAAAAACAGCUUUUGACGUCAUUUUGCGGUAAUGAUACCAAAGGCGCUACGAUUGUCGGAUGAAGGUGAAAGAUACACCGUUUCGAAGCUAAGAGACAGGGCUACAAUAUUACAAAAGGUCACUCAACCCAGUUUCGAGUGUAACCAGGUAAAAAAUGCAAGAUACUACACCAGAAUCACAGAACGCAUUCUAGCGGAAACAUCAUAAAUCAGGUUAUCCAAGUCCAAAUCCAAAAAUUCCAAAACCAGCUGAAAGCUAAGAAACAGGGCUAAAUUUCAUCAGAAGGCCUCAACAACCAAUUCCAGCCAAAACAACCAAUUACAGGCGCAAUUCUUAUAUUCGGGUAAAACCAGAAUAGCAAUAGUAAUUUCGACUUUUCUCAUUCUACACUACUCCGAUUGAACUGAAAUUUUUUAGGUACCUCUAAAAUGUCAUUCACUACAACUUUCAUGUUUUAAGCCAAGGCCAAUUCGGCCUCUAACUAGGAGCUAAAAAUUCGGGCAGAAUGUUCCUUCACAAAACCUAAUUUUCUGAAAUUUCUUCCAAAACAGAAAUUGAUUGCAAUUGUCCACUUUUUCCACCUUCUAGAAUCAUUAUAUACCAUUUCCAAUCAUCAUAGAUAGCCAUACAACCAUGCUUAUAUUAAAACAGAAAAAUCCCCAAAAUAAUAAAACUUCAUCACUUCAACCACAAAUCAAGAAAUAAUCCAUAAUAUUGCAUCUCAUACCACCACUAAUCAUGAUUUAAGCAUCAAUUAAGGGAAGGAGAGGGGUCCUUCACAACUCACCUUAGCAAUACAAGAACUAGAGCAACUAGUCACCUUAGCUUUCCAAACAACUUCACAACCAAGCUCAACUCCACCAAACUAAGAGGUUUUAUGGAGUAAAUUCAAGUUUAAUCGGUUGGAAUUGAAGAUUGAGUGAGAUGAGAAGCUAGAAAGUUGAGAGAUUUUUCUUCUUUUCCUUUGAGAGAGAGCCAGCCAUGAAGCAUAGAAAUAGGAUGAUUUUUGGGUCAAAAUUGAGUAUUAGUAAAGGUAAGAAAUAAUGGUCAAAGUCCAAGAUUAAAUCACAAGGUGACACUUGUCACCUUUUUGGUUUAAAACUUAUCUUUUUGUCUCUCCAAUACAAAUAUCUUAACACCUUGUAAAAUAAUAUCACUUAAUACAAAAUUCUAACAAGUUGUCAAAAAUAUAAUGCAUUUACCGCACUAGCGGGUCCCACGUCCAAAAUACGCUCGUAAUUUCUCAAAAACUAACCGAUACUAGAAAAAUCAUUUUAAAACUAUCUUUGCUCAUAAACUUUAUUUGGGGAAUUUUUCUAAUAAAGAAAAUGUAGAAAAGGCGGGCGAUUAAAUAAAAUAAACCCUAGAAAAUUAAAAAAAUUUCGGGUUCUCACACUCAUACUUUUCGGGGCGUCACAGACCCGAUCGAUAAGGUGGCUAUUAGUUUGUCUGAGUUAUUCGUGGGGGUUACUUAUGAUGGUGAGCCAUCAGAGAAUCCAGAAUUUUCAGAAGUCUCCAGGGAAGCAAUGAAGAAUUUGACUAGUGAUUUCCUUCCCUCCCAAAGGGAAUUUCGGUAAAUCUAGGGAAUUACCUUUGGUUGAGAAUUAUGAAAGAAAUCAUUCACAUCGCCCAUCUUUUGCAUUUCAGUCUUGUAAAUAGUUUUGAAACAAAUGUCUUUUCAAUACAAGUCUUAUGUUAAAUAGCAUACCUUUUAUUAAGUAGCAUAUUAUGACGUUUUGUCCUUUAUUUGAAAUUCACUGAAAUGCACAGUGUUUAUUUUUCAAAUUGUUUUACUUACUUAUUGUUGUAUCUAUCUCAUUCUUUUUUCAGAUGGCUAAAAAUAAAAUUCAUUGACCCUUUGGAUAUCACUAUUCCGAAUUUUGAUGAUUGCAAUCUUGAUAUCUUUCACGAAUUCGAAAUUUUGGAAUCAAAAAUUCAAGACGAGAGUGAUAACGAGGAAGAAUCUGAGUUUUCGUUAAAGAAUUUUGAACAAUAUGAAGAGAAAUUCAAACCGAACUUAGAAAAAAUAGAAAUCAUUAAUAUUGGCACUGAAACCGAUGUCAAGGAGAUAAAAAUUAGCAUUCAUUUGAAUAAGAAGUAGAGAAAAGAGAUGAUUGAAUUCUUGACCAUGUUUCAAGAUGUGUUUGCUUGGUCUUAUGAUGACAUGAUGGGUAUUUCAAGAGAUAUAGCGGUGCACAAAUUGCCAACAGACCCAAAAUUUUCACCAUGAAGUAGAAGUCUCGUAAAUUCAAACCGGACAUAAGUCUUAAAAUCAAGAAGCAAAUCGAGAAGCAACUCACUGCAAGAAUCAUCAUGGUGUCUCACUACUAUAUUUGGCUUUCAAAUCCAGUCCCCAUCCCGAAGAAAAGUGAAGAGGUAAGGGUAUGUGUUGACUAUCGAGAUUUGAACAGGGCUAGUCCAAAAGAUGAUUUUUCCUUGCCAAACAUAUAUAUCCUUUUGGACAACACCGCUAGGCAUGAGAUUGAAUCCUUUGGUGAUUGUUUCGCCGGAUAUCAUCAAAUUCUAAUGGCAGAAGAGGACAGAGAGAAAACUGCUUUUAUCACUCCAUGGGGAACGUUUUGCUAUCGAGUAAUGCCAUUCGAAUUGAAAAAUGUUGGAGCUACUUAUCAAAGGACCAUGACCACCUUGUUCCACGAUAUGAUUUAUAAGGAGAUGAAAGUUUAUGUGGAUGGUAUCAUAAUCAAAUCCAAGAAAGCGGAGGAUCAUUUGGUUGACUUGAAAAAGUUAUUUGAAAGGUUGAGAAGAUAUAAUUUGAAAUUAAAUCCCGCGAAGUGCACUUUCAGAGCUCCUACCGGCAAAUUAUUGGGGUUCAUUGUCAGUAAAAAGGGCAUAGAGAUAGGUCCGAUAAAGAUUAAAGCCAUUCGUGAAAUGCCAGUGCCAAAAACACAAAAAGAUAUGCAGAGUUUCUUAGGAAAGAUUAAUUUCAUCGGUCUAUUCAUUGCUCAAUUGACUUUUACAUGUGAGUCUUUGUUUAAAUUGUUGAAGAAAAAUGUGUCAUUGUAUUGGAGUGAAGAAUGCCAACAGGCUUUUGAUAAGAUCAAGGAUUACUUGUUGCAUCCCCCCCCCGAUUUUAGUGCCAUCCAAACCAGGUCGACCUUUGAUUAUGUACCUGUCUAUGCUCGACGAGACUGUGGGAUAUGUCUUGGGGCAGCAUGAUGAUUCUGGAAAAAGAGAGCAAGUCAUUUAUUAUCUUAGCAAAAAAUUCACACCUUACAAGGCAAAAUACACAUUUCUUGAAAGGAGUUGCAGUGCAUUGGUCUGGACAACUCAGAAAUUGAGGCAUUACUUGCUUAGUCACACCACCUACCUUAUCUCUCGUUCAGAUCCUUUGAAGUACUUAUUGGAGAAACUAAUGCCGACCGGACGCAUGACUCAAUGGCAAAUGAUCUUUUCUGAAUUCAAUAUCAUUUUCAUCAUGCAAAAGGCAAUCAAGGGUCAGGCUAUAGCAGAUCACUUGGCUGAAAAUCUAAGGGAAGAUGAUUAUCAACCGCUUCACACUUAUUUUCCUGAUGAGAAGAUCUUGUUUAUUGGUAUAGCAGAGGAUAUGAAUGAGCGAUACUCUGAGUGGAGACUGUUCUUUGAUGGUGUUUCAAAUUCUUUCGGAGCUGGUAUCGGAGCUAUUAUAGUAUCACCUGAAGGAAAGCGUUAUCCCGAUUCCGUUAAACUACGAUUUUUAUGCACUAACAAUAUGGCUGAAUAUGAGAUUUGUAUUUUUGGACUCAAAAUGGCGUUGGAGAUAGAGAUUAAGGAUUUAAUAGUGUUCAGUGAUUUCGAUUUACUCAUGCAUCAAACGCUCAAAGAAUGGAUCACUCGAGAUUCAAAAAUCUUGUCAUAUCAUUGUAAUUUACUAGAUUUAGCAAAAAAAUUCAGGAGUUUGGAGUUCAGACAUAUUCCACGUGCCAGAAAUGUUUUUGCUGAUGCUUUGGCUACUUUAUCUUCAAUGAUUCAACAUCCAGAUGAAUUGGUGAUUGAGCCUAUCCAGAUUCAAUUGCAAGAAAAGCCUACACAUUGUUUGGUUAUGAAAAAAUCUUCUGAUGGCCGUCCCUGGUACAGCAAUAUUAAGGAAUUUCUCAAAACAGGGUCCUAUCCUCCAGGUGCUGAUGCAACUGCUAAAAAUUUCUUGUGCAUAUUAUCAUCCAAGUUUUUCUUGAAUGGAGAUGUGGUCUACAAAAGGACGUCAGACUUGGGCCUUCUAAGAUGCGUCGAUGAAGAAGAAGCAGAUUAUUUGAUGAAAGAAGUGCACAGUGGUGUAUGUGAAUCACAUAUGAACGGGCAUUUAUUAGCAAAGAAGAUCAUGGAAUAUGAUAUUUUUAACUUACUAUGGAGCAUGAUUGUAUAGAUUUUGUCAGAAAAUGCAUUAAAUGUCAAUUGCAUGGGGAUGUUAUGCGCACUUCCCCCACAGAAUUACACAGUAUGACUGCUCCCUAAUCAUGUUUAAUGUGGGGUAUGGAUAUAAUUGGAACCAUUGACCCUCCUGCUUAAAACGGGCAUCGAUUUAUUUUGGUGGCAAUUGAAUAUUUUACUAAAUGGGUUGAAACUGAGUCUUGCAAGCAUGUGACUAAGAAUGUGGUGACCGAUUUUCUAAGGAAACACAUCAUUUGUCGUUUUGGUAUGCCAGAGACAUUAAUCACUGACAAUGCUAAGAAUUUCAACAAUGACAUGGUAGAUAGAUUGUGCGAGCAGUUCAAAAUCAAUUAUCAAAAUUCUACUAUUUAUAGAUCACAGAUGAAUGGAACUAUGAAGGCCGCAAAUAAGAACUCGAAGAAGAUAAUCCGUAAAAUGAUCGAAAGACAUCGGGAUUGGCACAAGAAGCUCCCCUAUAUAUUAAUGGCAUAUAGAACUGCUAUUCAGACUUCUAUUAGGGCAAUGCCUUACAACCUCAUGUAUGGAAUAGAAGCAGAUUUGCCGGCUGAGGUCGAAAUUUCCUCAUUGCGCAUAUUAAUGGAGGCCAAACUAAAUGAAGCAAAUUGGAUUAAAUAACGUCAUGAGCAAUUGUCUUUAAUUGAUGAGAAAAGGUUAAAAGUCAUUUGUCAUGGUCAGUGCUAUCAAAAGAGAAUGGCCCGUACUUACAACAAGAAGGUCAAAGUGUGACUAUUCGAAAAAGGAGAUAAAGUGUUGAAACGGAUUUUGUCAGUACAAGAGGAGGCCAAAGGCAAGUUUGCACCAAAUUGGUAGGGCUUUUUUAUUCGUCAAUAUGGUAUUGUCUGGUGGAGCACUUGUUCUCGCAGAAAUGAAUGGACAAGUUUUCCCUCAACCGAUCAAUUCGGAUAUGUGUAAAAAAUUCUUUAUCUGAUAAACGGAAGUUUUCUUUUAGAGUUAAUGGGAAGAAUGGAAUAAAAGUCAGGUUUUCUUCCUUUCCAAUUAAAUAUUCUAUGCCUAGUUAUCCCUUUUGAACUUUCAUAAUAAAUUAUUUCGUUUGACAACUCCUGAGAAUCGCAAACCCCACACUGGGGCAAGUUUGAGUUAAAAAAGAAAAGAGAAAUCUCAAGAGGUGAAAAAUGAUAGACAAGAAAAAAAAUGAAAAGAAAUUAAAGAAAAGAAUCUCAAUUAAAAAUAAAUUUGGGCAAUUUUAGUUUAAUCCUAAAUCGGGUUAAUAUGAAGAUGCAACCUCAAGUGAUUUAAACAUUUAUAAAAUUUGCCUUCAAGUCUUAACCAUUUGUUAGCACCUUACCUGAUCACAUUACGAAAAAUCGAAAGUCCUGACUUCCAUUCUUUGUAUCACCUCUUUAAAGAAAUUUUCUAAUCAAAUGACAAAUGAUGUCAAUGCACCUUCACCAAUUUUACAAAGGAAUGAUUGUUGCACUGAUGCCGUCAUUUCUUAAAACACAUUUCUGAGUUGAUAAGAGCUAUCGGCAGGAUUUGUUUAUCAGGUGAAAAUCCAAAAGCGCACCUUUAAAAAAAGAAAAAAAGAAAAAAAAGAAGGAAACAGAAAAGAAGAAAGAAAAAGGAAAAAUGAAUAAAAGAAGAUAAAAAGGGUGGGGGUAACUUUAGUGAAAACUCGAAAGGGCGCUAAGGGUUUUAUGUUGAAAAGUGAGCUUGGAUUGGAAUGGCUGAAGACUCAACUCAUUUGAGUUUCUCUUCACGGUUGUAGUUUUGUUGCCGACAUUAAACUCCGGAUGAACGAUAUCCAAAGGGUCAAAUGUAACAUUUUGUUCGAAAUCCAAGUGUUUUGGUUCAUCAAACAUAAAUUUUGGAGUGUACAGGUUUAUUUCGCUAAAGUUAAUUUUCUUUCAAUAAAGGUAAAUGGCUAUGGCUGUUUUUCAUGUUACUAGAAUUUCUAUAAUUUUUGUGUACAUAAAAUAUUUUUUCAUAUGUUUCAUGGUCUCAUUUAUCUCUUUGAAUUUAUCAAACGACAAACCCUAUGAUUUAUUGAAAUUGUUUGGAUACUAAAUGUCAUAUUUCAUCAGCAUUGAAAGUUAUGAAAAUUUGAUGUUGUUCGCAGAGCAAAGUUGAGUUUUCGCUACAUCGGGGAAGAAUGUUCAAAUACUCAUGUUUACACAUUUCUUGAAAGCGAAUUUCAUCAGAUGGUGGUAGCAUUAUUUAUCAUAUGAUUAUUUCUUUUGCAUGUCCAAAUGUCCAAUAACAUCACACUAGGGCAAAUUCUCUAAAAAAAUAGUUAACUUUCUCCAUCAGAAUCUUCGAAAUUUUACAGAAAAGCCUUCUGCAAAAAUCUUUCCAAUUUUCAUGGCAGUUAUGGCAGGCUCAGGUUUUAUCCUACUGACCAAUUUUACGGCAGGCUUGAAUUUUAUCCCACUGACUGAUGUUACGGCAGACUCGAAUUUUAUCCCACUGACCAAUUUCACGGUAGGCUCGGAUUUUAUCCUACUGACCGAUAUUACGGCAGGUUCGGGUCUUUAUCCCAUUAACCAAUGUUAUAGCAGGUUCGAAUUUUAUCCCACUGACCUUUAUAUAUUUAUUUCAGUUCACGGCAGAAUAACUACAGGUAAGUAUUUGGUGUCUACAUUUUUGUCUCAAGUUUCUUCGAAAUUCAGAUAAAGAGGGGUAAGCUGUAGACACCAAAAUUUCAAUUUUUAUGUAAUUCAAUUUUAGCUUUAUUUUUUAUUAUUUAUUCUUUUUAUUUUAUUUUAUUUUAGUUGAUUAAGUUUGCAAAAUGAUAGUUAGUGUUUAUUUUUUGCUUAUUUUAGUAAAUUAGAUUCAUCAUUUUUCUUUUUAAGACAUUUUUUGUAUUAAAUUUCUGAAAAAAAAAAAGAAAAUUCUUACAAAAAUUUGUUUUAAUCUUUUUAAAUUCAGGUACUUCAAAAUAAAAUGAAAAUUAGUGAUGCAUUUAACAUUUUUUUUGUUACCCUAAACUUUUUUUGAAAAAUAAAAAAUAACAAAAUAAAAAAUAGGUGGAGACCAUACAAACUAGCUAAGUGGGAUAGGUAAGGGUUAGACAAGUGUUCUUAUUUUUUGUUGAUACCACAACACUUGCUAGAUUAGAUAGCAGGACACUUGUUGAUUUGGAAAAAUUUGGAGAAAAAUCUGAAAAUUAGGAGGAAAGGAAGAAGCUACGGGAAAAAAGAGGGAGAAAGGAAGCAAGGAAAAGAAAAAAGAAAGGCGGCAGACGGAGGGAAAAACAAGAAAAAAGGGAGGCUACGGGGCUGGGAAGAAAAGAAAGCAAAAAAGAAGAACAGAGUAAGAAAAAGAGGGAAACCGAGAGAGAAAAAUUUGGGAGAGAGCUUUGGGGCUAAACAAGAGAGAGCAAGAGAGGUAGGGAGAAACUACAAGAGAUAGAGAGAACGAGAGGAAAACUCUAGAGAAACAAGAAACAAGAAACAAGAAAAAAAAAAAAAAGAAGCUGCGGAGAAGAAAGAGUUUGGGCAGAAAAAAAAAACUAAGAGAAAAGAGGAACCAGUAGCAAAAGAAAACCAAGGAACAAAGGAGAAGACGGAGCUGCCGUCGCUCGCCGAAAUCAUCCACCACCGUUGUCGUCAAUCUUCACCGGAAAAACACUAAUUUUUGCUAACGAAUGUAUGGAAAUGAGAGUUAUUGACCUGCUUGCUUCUCUCCUUUUUCUUUUAGUAAAAAUUUCUUAUCUCUUUCUGAUGUUUAUGCAUUCGUGUGGAGUUGUAAUUUCUGUUGUUUGUAAGAGAGUUGGUUAGGUUGCUGUAAAUUUUAGGCUUGCUAUUUUGCAAAUCAAUAAAAUCGAUUCAAUUUUGUUGAUGCACCUAACCUGUUUGAUCAAUGGCCUCUGCGUAAACUUAAGCCAAAGAAGUCAAUGUGGUGAUUUUCUGUGUGAGUGUAAGAGGAACUCUGGCCAGUCCAAAGCUGGCCAGAGCCUGUGAGUUCGAUAGUUGGGGGGGGGGGGAAAUGAAGUCAAGAAAUUUUGGAGUUGAUUUCUUCCGUUUUUGUUGUCUUUUGUAUCUUACAAUGGUUUAGUGUGUACUUGUGCGUGUGGAGUGAAAAGAGAAAACUCCAGCCAGUCCAAUGCCGGCUGAAGCGACGAUUUCCAGUUUUUUCGGUGAAGUCUCGGUGAAGUGACGAUUUCCAGUCCAACCUUUCUUGUCUUUUAGUUUCUAGAAUCUGUUUUCUCUCCGUUAUGGUAUGAUAACCUUUUUGGAUGGCUUGAUAUGUUUAAUGAAAACCCAGAAACCCGCGAAGAAGAUGAAGGCUUCGACUAAGAUGCCUGAACAUUUUUUGAAACUUCUGGUUAAACCCUCCGACUUUUACUUAAUUCUGAUAUGGCCCAAAAAUUGGAAAAAUCAGUCAAUUCUUGUCCUUUGAAGUCUUAAUUUUUAUUUGGCAUAUUAUAAUAUGAUUUUUUGGAUAGAUUGCAUGUGAGUUUUAUGAUGAAAUUUAAGGUUUAAUAAUUUCUAUAUAUUUAUAAUUUUAAUUUGAGUUUUAGCGAAAAAUUUAAAGAUUUGGGUAAUAUUUUUGUGGAUUUAAUUUAUUUUGUAAAUUUUAGCAAUUAAGUUUGAUAAGCUUUAUUUGGGGCUCUUAAUUUCAUUUUCCUUUAAUUUUGACCCUUAAGAUUUUAUGAUGAUAAUUUGACCCCCAAAACUUUUUUUUCAAUUAGGUCCUUGUUUGUUUAAAAUUUUCUGAAUAUAGGUUGUUUACUUUCAUUAAAUACUUUAAUUGAUUCAAUUUCAUGUUUAUUUUCAUAUUUUAUGAUUAUUUGUUACUUAAAGUGGUGCCUUAACCAUUUUCUUCGUGUUGGAGGGUAGAAAUAAGGGCAAUUUGACUUCAUUUAAUCAUCACUUCAAAAGGGAGGUACCCCUAUUAUUAUUAUUUCAAUGUUAAUUACGUGUUUAACACAUAUUUUUAUAUGUUUCAUUUAUUUGAUUUAAAUGUUCAUUCAAAUUUUCUUAUAUUUGUUUAGUUAAUUUUUAUAAUUAUUUAAGAGGCAUUUAAAUACCUCAAAAAAUGUAAUAGAUAGGAUAAUUAGAUUUGUUUUAUUACAUUUUUCCAUUUUAGAUUGUAAUUAGAUCCCCUAUUGUAAUAGGUAGGGUAGAUAGGAUUUUUUCAUCUCCCCAUUUUAGAUUGUAGUUAGAUU